AUCGCUUCUCGGCCUUUUGGCUAAGAUCAAGUGUAAAAGAAAAUGGACAGAAUCCUAAAACACAAAGACAAACAUCUAAAAAUAAUCUCCAUAUCUUUCUACCAGCGUGGAAAGGUUCAUUCCUUUUCACACAUAACAAAUUAUGUGAUUGGGGAGAUUAACU
rnacentral:snRNA from 1 species